rnacentral:misc_RNA from 1 species
GAUGAAGAACGUAGCGAAAUGCGAUAAGUAAUGCGAAUUGCAGAAUUCCGUGAGUCAUCGAAUCUUUGAACGCACAUUGCGCCCUCUGGUAUUCCGGAGGGCAUGCCUGUCUGAGCGUCAUUGUCAACCCUCAAGCUUAGCUUGCUGUUGGGUCCCCGUCGUUGCUUUAACGGCGGACCCGAAAGGUAAUGGCAGAGUCCGUGAGACCCUAGACGCAGCGAGCUUCUAGCACGCGUCUGGACGUUUUUCGGGCUCGGUCUUAACUAGAUGAUAACUUCCGAUUGACCUCAGAUCAGGUAGGGAUACCCGCUGAACUUAAGCAUAUCAAUAAGCGGAGGA